GCGGUAGAGAGAAGCUUGCUUCUCUUGACAGCGGCGGACGGGUGAGUAAUGCCUAGGAAUCUGCCUGGUAGUGGGGGAUAACGUUCGGAAACGGACGCUAAUACCGCAUACGUCCUACGGGAGAAAGCAGGGGACCUUCGGGCCUUGCGCUAUCAGAUGAGCCUAGGUCGGAUUAGCUAGUUGGUGAGGUAAUGGCUCACCAAGGCGACGAUCCGUAACUGGUCUGAGAGGAUGAUCAGUCACACUGGAACUGAGACACGGUCCAGACUCCUACGGGAGGCAGCAGUGGGGAAUAUUGGACAAUGGGCGAAAGCCUGAUCCAGCCAUGCCGCGUGUGUGAAGAAGGUCUUCGGAUUGUAAAGCACUUUAAGUUGGGAGGAAGGGCAGUUACCUAAUACGUGAUUGUUUUGACGUUACCGACAGAAUAAGCACCGGCUAACUCUGUGCCAGCAGCCGCGGUAAUACAGAGGGUGCAAGCGUUAAUCGGAAUUACUGGGCGUAAAGCGCGCGUAGGUGGUUAGUUAAGUUGGAUGUG
rnacentral:rRNA from 1 species